rnacentral:rRNA from 1 species
CCGGUGCAAGAUUAAAACUCAAAGGAAUUGACGGGGCCGCCACAACCGUUGACCUUUGGUUAAUUUGAAACCACGGCAAGACCCUUACCCACCUUUUUGACAAGGCUUGGACCGGCCACGGAAAACGUGGCCUUUCCCUUCCGGGAACUUGGGAACACCAGGUCUUGCAUGCCUGUCGCAAGUUCGUGUCGUAGAUGUUGGGUUAAGUCCCGCAACGAGCGCAACCCUCGGCCAUUAGUUGCCAUCAUUCAGUUGGGAACUCUAAUGGGACUGCCGGUGCUAAGCCGGAGGAAGGUGGGGAUGACGUCAAGUCCUCAUGGCCCUUACAGGGUGGGCUACACACGUGCUACAAUGGCAACUACAGAGGGUUAAUCCUUAAAAGUUGUCUCAGUUCGGAUUGUCCUCUGCAACUCGAGGGCA